rnacentral:rRNA from 1 species
UGCAAGUCGAGCGGACAGAUGGGAGCUUGCUCCCUGAUGUUAGCGGCGGACGGGUGAGUAACACGUGGGUAACCUGCCUGUAAGACUGGGAUAACUCCGGGAAACCGGGGCUAAUACCGGAUGGUUGUUUGAACCGCAUGGUUCAAACAUAAAAGGUGGCUUCGGCUACCACUUACAGAUGGACCCGCGGCGCAUUAGCUAGUUGGUGAGGUAAUGGCUCACCAAGGCAACGAUGCGUAGCCGACCUGAGAGGGUGAUCGGCCACACUGGGACUGAGACACGGCCCAGACUCCUACGGGAGGCAGCAGUAGGGAAUCUUCCGCAAUGGACGAAAGUCUGACGGAGCAACGCCGCGUGAGUGAUGAAGGUUUUCGGAUCGUAAAGCUCUGUUGUUAGGGAAGAACAAGUACCGUUCGAAUAGGGCGGUACCUUGACGGUACCUAACCAGAAAGCCACGGCUAACUACGUGCCAGCAGCCGCGGUAAUACGUAGGUGGCAAGCGUUGUCCGGAAUUAUUGGGCGUAAAGGGCUCGCAGGCGGUUUCUUAAGUCUGAUGUGAAAGCCCCCGGCUCAACCGGGGAGGGUCAUUGGAAACUGGGGAACUUGAGUGCAGAAGAGGAGAGUGGAAUUCCACGUGUAGCGGUGAAAUGCGUAGAGAUGUGGAGGAACACCAGUGGCGAAGGCGACUCUCUGGUCUGUAACUGACGCUGAGGAGCGAAAGCGUGGGGAGCGAACAGGAUUAGAUACCCUGGUAGUCCACGCCGUAAACGAUGAGUGCUAA